GCAGUCGAGCGGAAACGAGUUAUCUGAACCUUCGGGGAACGAUAACGGCGUCGAGCGGCGGACGGGUGAGUAAUGCCUAGGAAAUUGCCCUGAUGUGGGGGAUAACCAUUGGAAACGAUGGCUAAUACCGCAUGAUGCCUACGGGCCAAAGAGGGGGACCUUCGGGCCUCUCGCGUCAGGAUAUGCCUAGGUGGGAUUAGCUAGUUGGUGAGGUAAGGGCUCACCAAGGCGACGAUCCCUAGCUGGUCUGAGAGGAUGAUCAGCCACACUGGAACUGAGACACGGUCCAGACUCCUACGGGAGGCAGCAGUGGGGAAUAUUGCACAAUGGGCGCAAGCCUGAUGCAGCCAUGCCGCGUGUGUGAAGAAGGCCUUCGGGUUGUAAAGCACUUUCAGUCGUGAGGAAGGUAGUGUAGUUAAUAGCUGCAUUAUUUGACGUUAGCGACAGAAGAAGCACCGGCUAACUCCGUGCCAGCAGCCGCGGUAAUACGGAGGGUGCGAGCGUUAAUCGGAAUUACUGGGCGUAAAGCGCAUGCAGGUGGUUUGUUAAGUCAGAUGUGAAAGCCCGGGGCUCAACCUCGGAAUUGCAUUUGAAACUGGCAGACUAGAGUACUGUAGAGGGGGGUAGAAUUUCAGGUGUAGCGGUGAAAUGCGUAGAGAUCUGAAGGAAUACCGGUGGCGAAGGCGGCCCCCUGGACAGAUACUGACACUCAGAUGCGAAAAGCGUGGGGAGCAAACAGGAUUAGAUACCCUGGUAGUCCACGCCGUAAACGAUGUCUACUUUGGAGGUUGUGGCCUUGAGCCGUGGCUUUCGGAGCUAACGCGUUAAGUAGACCGCCUGGGGGAGUACGGUCGCAAGAUUAAAACUCAAAUGAAUUGACGGGGGCCCGCACAAGCGGUGGAGCAUGUGGUUUAAUUCGAUGCAACGCGAAGAACCUUACCUACUCUUGACAUCCAGAGAACUUUCCAGAGAUGGAUUGGUGCCUUCGGGAACUUCUGAGACAGGUGCUGCAUGGCUGUCGUCAGCUCGUGUUGUGAAAUGUUGGGUUAAGUCCCGCAACGAGCGCAACCCUUAUCCUUGUUUGCCAGCGAGUAAUGUCGGGAACUCCAGGGAGACUGCCGGUGAUAAACCGGAGGAAGGUGGGGACGACGUCAAGUCAUCAUGGCCCUUACGAGUAGGGCUACACACGUGCUACAAUGGCGCAUACAGAGGGCAGCCAACUUGCGAAAGUGAGCGAAUCCCAAAAAGUGCGUCGUAGUCCGGAUUGGAGUCUGCAACUCGACUCCAUGAAGUCGGAAUCGCUAGUAAUCGUGGAUCAGAAUGCCACGGUGAAUACGUUCCCGGGCCUUGUACACACCGCCCGUCACACCAUGGGAGUGGGCUGCAAAAGAAGUAGGUAGUUUAACCUUCGGGGGGACG
rnacentral:rRNA from 1 species